rnacentral:tRNA from 1 species
GCUGGCGUGGCGGAAUUGGUAUACGCGCUUGCCUUAGAAGCAUGUUCCCGAAAGGGAUUGAGAGUUCGAGUCUCUCCGCCAGCA